UGCCUAAGCUGAGUGUAUUGCUCAUGGUU
rnacentral:piRNA from 1 species